rnacentral:tRNA from 1 species
AGAAAAGUUAGAAGAUCUGCUAACUCUUCACCCCAUACAUAACACUAUGGCUUUUCUG